rnacentral:lncRNA from 1 species
UGGGUUGGAGGUGUUUGGAGUUGGGAGCUGCUGGUUGUUUGAGGUUGAAGCCGGCUCGCUAGUGGUGGCGUGAGCGGAGGGAAGAAGAAGAAAAUGAAUGGAGGUUUUUGGGUGGUUUCAAGUGGUGUUUGCUGGCCGGAAAAGGGAGGAGUAAUAGAUGUGUUUGUUCACUUGUUUGGGGGUCAUUUGGUGGUGGCGUUUUGCCUGAAAAAGAAGAAAAUGAAUGGGGUUUUGGGUUGCCGGAGAUUGGCCGGAAUCCGGAGUGGUAGAGUUGUCAAAUUACUCCUAACUCGCGCAUAAUACGUGCACAUCACGCGUUUUGCUAAAUAGGACUCGCGUGUUUAUUUAUUAAAAGGUUGGAUAGUUAAAGUGCUUGUUUGUGCACUAUGAAAGUUGGAGGUCAAAGUUAAAAUUUGAAGCCAUGUUUAGGGUCCAAUAUAUGUAUUAUGC